UACGGAGGGGGCUAGCGUUGUUCGGAAUUACUGGGCGUAAAGCGCACGUAGGCGGCUUUGCAAGUCAGAGGUGAAAGCCCGGGGCUCAACCCCGGAAUUGCCUUUGAGACUGCAUCGCUAGAAUUGUGGAGAGGUAAGGUGGAAUUCCGAGUGUAGAGGUGAAAUUCGUAGAUAUUGGAAGAACACCAGUGGCGAAGGCGACUUACUGGACACAUAUUGACGCUGAGGUGCGAAAGCGUGGGGAGCAAACAGGG
rnacentral:rRNA from 1 species